UACAGAGGUCCCAAGCGUUGUUCGGAUUCACUGGGUUUAAAGGGUGCGUAGGUGGGUCUGUAAGUCAGUGGUGAAAUCUUCGAGCUUAACUCGGAAACUGCCAUUGAUACUAUAGAUCUUGAAUUUUCUGGAGGUAAGCGGAAUAUGUCAUGUAGCGGUGAAAUGCUUAGAUAUGACAUAGAACACCAAUUGCGAAGGCAGCUUACUACGGGAACAUUGACACUGAGGCACGAAAGCGUGGGGAUCAAACAGG
rnacentral:rRNA from 1 species